rnacentral:rRNA from 1 species
CGGCGAGUGAAGCGGCAACAGCUCAAAUUUGAAAUCUGGCCCUUGUGGUCCGAGUUGUAAUUUGUAGAGGAUGAUUUUGGCGCGGUGCCUUCCGAGUUCCCUGGAACGGGACGCCUUAGAGGGUGAGAGCCCCGUACGGUUGGACACCAAGCCUCUGUAAAUCUCCUUCGACGAGUCGAGUAGUUUGGGAAUGCUGCUCUAAAUGGGAGGUAAAUUUCUUCUAAAGCUAAAUACCGGCCAGAGACCGAUAGCGCACAAGUAGAGUGAUCGAAAGAUGAAAAGCACUUUGAAAAGAGGGUUAAAUAGCACGUGAAAUUGUUGAAAGGGAAGCGUUUGCGACCAGACCUUUUCCUAGCGGAUCAUCCGGUGUUUUCACCGGUGCACUUCGCUAGGUUUAGGCCAGCAUCGGUUUCUGUGGGGGGAUAAAAGCUCUGGGAACGUGGCUCCUUCGGGAGUGUUAUAGCCCUCUGCAUAAUACCCUCACGGGGACCGAGGACCGCGCAAGGAUGCUGGCAUAAUGGUCGUCAACGACCCGUCUUGAAACACGGACCAAGGAGUCGAACAUUUGUGCGAGUGUUUGGGUGUUAAACCCUCACGCGUAAUGAAAGUGAACGGAGGUGAGAGCCCUUACGGGUGCAUCAUCGACCGAUCCUGAUGUCUUCGGAUGGAUUUGAGUAAGAGCAUAACUGUUCGGACCCGAAAGAUGGUGAACUAUGCGUGGAUAGGGUGAAGCCAGAGGAAACUCUGGUGGAGGCUCGCAGCGGUUCUGACGUGCAAAUCGAUCGUCAAAUCUGCGCAUGGGGGCGAAAG